rnacentral:rRNA from 1 species
UACGGGGGGAGCGAGCGUUGUUCGGAAUUACUGGGCGUAAAGGGCGCGUAGGCGGAUAUGAAAGUCGAGUGUGAAAUCCAACGGCUCAACCGUUGAAUUGCACUCGAAACUGCAUAUCUCGAGUACAGGAGAGGAAGGCGGAAUUCUUGGUGUAGCGGUGAAAUGCAUAGAUAUCAAGAAGAACACCGGUGGCGAAGGCAGCUUUCUGGCCUGAUACUGACGCUAAGGCGCGAAAGCGUGGGGAGCAAACAGGAUUAGAUACCCCGGUA